GUUUAUUUCAGCUUUUGUGCAGAGAUUGAAAAAUUGUGCCUUGGUGCAUUACCUUGAUUUUCUGUCAUUAAAUUCUUGACGUGAAAAGAUUCUAAAAGAGAAAAAAGAAAAGGGGAAAAAUUCUGCAUUAUAGUCUUACAGACAAUAUCUGUGAGUUGUUCACCAAGAACACAGGCACAUGGGUUUGGUGACCAUGAGGUUCUUCAUUGUUAACUGAUGGAAAAAAUGCGCAUGUUGUGCAAAAGUGUCUUAAGGGUGUCUUGUCCAUUGUUAAAUGAUAAUCAAAUCUUGGGGAAGGCUUCUGACAUGGCUUUCAGACCCACUAUAUUUCUGGUGUGCACCGGAUGGUUAAUAACCAAUAUUUAUGAGAUCAUCUGUUUGUAACAAUUGUGAGUUAUUACCCCCCAAAAAUAGAUAGUGAGGGCAGAAAUGUGCAUAUUUUAUGUGCAUGUAGGAUGUUGGAUAAGUGCAUGUUGUAUAGUUGCAAAAUGGAAUAACAUCAACUAUGAUUUAUGAAUCAGGUUAUAGAUCUUUCUAUUAAAAAAUUAUUGACUGUGGGUACUAGGCAUGUCAAUUUGGUAACAAUACUAAGUUAAAGUGGCACUUGUGCACUUGUUCUGCCAUUCAUGAACCUUUCUUCUCAACUUUGGGUAAUGAUAACACCAAAAAUAAGGAAUUCGUUGUUAUCCAUAUCAGCAACUUCCCUAAAAAAUAACUUUGGUUCAUGACAUAUCGCAGUAAGAAUAGUAUUAUUGUUCUUGCGGCUGUUUUGGAACGUUGCUAGGCGUAAUAUGGUCUUUUAAGAGCCAAGCACUUAUACCUGUUCGUUGAUCAGAAAUGUCAUAUUAAGUUUUAUUUAAGGUGACAUAAAUAAUUGUAUCUACUGUGAAGCAAAGUCAAAUCAAAGAAGAAUCCCACUAAUCUGUAUUUGCUACAUAAAGUGGGUCCAACAUCUACGUGCCUAUAUCUGUUAGUCACGACAGGGCAGAAAUCAACUAGUUUGGGAUAAAGUAUGCAUAAUUGCAUAUGGUCUGUCCAUACUUUGUGCCUGUUCUAAUUCAAUUAUAAUGCUUUCCCAUGCUCAUUAUUGAUUUUUCCCUUUUAACCAAUAUUGUCCUUACUGUUUCUAUUGUUUAAGCAUAGUUCAAAAGGUGGCACAUCAAUGUGUCAAGCUAGGCAGUUAAUUCCUCUCUAAUUGAUUUCUCUUCCAUGUUUGAGCAGACAUCUGCUGGUGCUGUGAUG
rnacentral:misc_RNA from 1 species